CUUGGCAGACUUCCCAGCAGCGCAGCCUCCUGGGGCUGAUUCAGCCAAUGUUCCCACCCAGGAAUCCUGGACGUCUGACAGGAAACAAGCCCAACUCUCCCAAGGCCAGUGGAGAUUUAAUGACUUCCUGCGGCCUCUAUGAGACACCAGGCUCUUCCUCUGGAAUAGACUUCAUCUCAGCCACAAGUGAGCAUCAUCACAAACCGUCACGGGACAGCAUGCCAUGCGGAGGAGAGAGGGGAAGGUGCUGGCGACAAAACAAAGAGCUUCACAAUGGAAAAUGAUAGCAUCAACACAGGCUGACACACAGGGGCAGAAAGCUGCCCUGAUUGCUUCUGCUGAGCGCCGGCUGAUAAGAUGAUGAAUUGAUGGAGGCCCUCCAUUUCUCCUCAUGGUCCAGCAUAAGAAAACAACUCCAGACUCCUCUGGCAAACACACAUCCAUUAAACACAGCUCUGUUGUUGGAGAAAAACAUGGUUGCCUGGUGAGGGAACAUUGUUGUGUCCACACAGCCUACUGUU